UGGCCUGUGCACCGCUGAGCCUCAGAGACCUCUGCAGAGAUGUUCCUCAGAGGCAUAGAAGUCUCUGUCACCCCUCCCAGGGACAUGCAGUAUUUUGCACCAGGAUUGGAGACUCUGCUUUCCUGCCACGUGCUUGGUUGCACAGAGGAGAACGGAGGGUCCCAGAGAAGCCGGGCAGCUGCUGGAGACCACCCUGUUCAUAGAAGGCAGAACCUGGAAUUAUAACUUAACUGGGAGCCCAGCAGUGCCUCCUCCUAUGUGCUUCACCCUCCACUCCACUGAAGGACCCCCUGCCUUCUUCAUUCUCCCAUCCCACUCUCCCACCUGCACCCUUCUUCUUUCAAGGUCACAGAGUCUACGCUACCCCCACCCCUGCCUCUCGGGGCUGGGGAGGGGCAAAGACCCAUGCUCCCAGGGGCAGGCGGCCUGGCCUUCUUGGACCUUGGCUGAGUCUGUGGCUUGGGGCUCUCCUUGCAGUUUGAUGCCCCCAAGGUGCUCAAAUAGGAAAUUUGCAUGUGGGUGGACCAUGGGCGGCGACAGGGGACAGGUGAUUGGAGGGAUGGAUGAAAGAGGGGCCAUCUCCGGCCACAGGAAGUGGCAAGAUUAGUAAGAGUUAGAGGUGAAAGGAGCCCAAUGCUCAGGCUUUGCAGAAGAGGGGCGCCCCCAUACCCCCUGCUUCUCGGAGCCAGGUGGAUGAUGGCCCCCAUAGCUGAUGAUUCCCUCCCUGGUUUAACUUGUCCACAUGCUGGUUGUUGGCUCGGAGGGUUGGUGCAGCCCCACCCUGGAGUCAGUGCCUCAGGGGACCUGGCUCCACAGACCCUCUGGCUCUGCCCUUUGCAGGCUCCAUAGCUGACGCUGGCAGGAUUUCAAGGAACCUCAGCAAGGCAGAGACACAUUAAUGAACUUUAUUGUUUUAUCAAGAACUUAAAAUUGUAGUUAUUGAUGUGACUUCAUUUUAAUUGCUGUAAUAAAUAUUUUUUUGUUAAUUAGGAUAUAUAGACAUAUACCAUUUAUUAACAAAACAAUUUGUAGUAAAAAUUGAUGUGCGUUCCAUUGGGCCUUCUCUGUACUUCUUGGAAACCCUAUGAAUGA